rnacentral:rRNA from 1 species
GAUGAACGCUAGCGGCAGGCCUAACACAUGCAAGUCGAGGGAGAAGCCCUUUCGGGGGCUGAAACCGGCGCACGGGUGCGUAACGCGUAUGCAACCUACCUUUCACAGGGGGAUAGCCCGAAGAAAUUUGGAUUAAUACCCCAUAAUAUUAUUGGAUGGCAUCAUUUGAUAAUUAAAACUGCGGUGGUGAAAGAUGGGCAUGCGUCCUAUUAGCUAGUUGGAGUGGUAACGGCACCCCAAGGCUACGAUAGGUAGGGGUCCUGAGAGGGAGAUCCCCCACGACGGGAAUGAGACGAGGAACAGGAUCCCAACGGAGGCAGGCAGGAGGAAUAGUGGUAGAAGGGUGGAAGAAUGAAACAGGCCAGGCGGGGGGAGGAAGAAAGGCUUUUUGGGUGGUAACCGGCUUUAUAAGGGAAGAAUAAGGCGUACGUGUACGUUGAUGACGGUACCAUAUGAAUAAGCAGCGGCUAACUCCGUG